rnacentral:hammerhead_ribozyme from 1 species
AUCCAUCUGUCGAGUCCUAAAUAGGACGAAACGCGCGUCCUGUAU